UUGACAACCGUCCGAUUCCUUCCACUGAGGUUGACAACCGUCCGAUUCCUUCCACUGAGGUUGACAACCGUCCGAUUCCUUCCACUGAGGUUGACAACCGUCCGAUUCCUUCCACUGAGGUUGACAACCGUCCGAUUCCUUCCACUGAGGUUGACAACCGUCCGAUUCCUUCCACUGAGGUUGACAACCGUCCGAUUCCUUCCACUGAGGUUGACAACCGUCCGAUUCCUUCCACUGAGGUUGACAACCGUCCGAUUCCUUCCACUGAGGUUGACAACCGUCCGAUUCCUUCCACUGAGGUUGACAACCGUCCGAUUCCUUCCACUGAGGUUGACAACCGUCCGAUUCCUUCCACUGAGGUUGACAACCGUCCGAUUCCUUCCACUGAGGUUGACAACCGUCCGAUUCCUUCCACUGAGGUUGACAACCGUCCGAUUCCUUCCACUGAGGUUGACAACCGUCCGAUUCCUUCCACUGAGGUUGACAACCGUCCGAUUCCUUCCACUGAGGUUGACAACCGUCCGAUUCCUUCCACUGAGGUUGACAACCGUCCGAUUCCUUCCACUGAGGUUCACAACCGUCCGAUUCCUUCCACUGAGGUUCACAACCGUCCGAUUCCUUCCACUGAGGUUCACAACCGUCCGAUUCCUUCCACUGAGGUUCACAACCGUCCGAUUCCUUCCAAUGAGGUUCACAACCGUCCGAUUCCUUCCAAUGAGGUUCACAACCGUCCAAUUCCUUCCAAUGAGGUUCACAACCGUCCAAUUCCUUCCAAUGAGGUUCACAACCGUCCGAUUCCUUCCAAU